rnacentral:piRNA from 1 species
UAAUCCAACGUUUAUUUCAGA